GCCUGGAUAGCUCAGAUGGCAGAGCAUCAGACUUUUAAUCUGAGGGUCCAGGGUUCAAGUCCCCAUCCAGGUG